ensembl:snRNA U6 U6 spliceosomal RNA
GUGCUUGCUUUGACAGCACGGCUAUUAAAAUGGGAACAGCACAGAGAAGGCUAACAUGGCCCCUCUGCAAGGAUGACACACAAAUUCAGAGCAUUCCCUUUAA